GUAAACUUAACAAACAUUAAUAUCCAAGCACCUAUGAAUCUUGAAAUUUAGAUCCCAAUGUACUUUGGAUACUGUAAUGUUUAUUUUCUUUUUAAAUUUUGAGCAUAGUGCUGCAUACUGAAGAAAGCCAUGUAGCUAUUUCCUAAUAAUUUGGGGUCUUUAAAGAGUUCUCAUGUGAAGUAAAGACAACAGUUUUCACACUCAAAAUGCAGUUCAAGAUUUAAUAUCUGAUCUAAACAAGCAAGUUAUGGUGACUACAUUUAUACUGUAAUCCUUUUAAAGGAGCAUUGUGCCUCUUUCAGCAACUUGUUCUUUAUUUCUGGCAAGAUAAAAUUAUAUCAUUUUUCUGAAGAGCGUCUAAAGUGCUACAUGAUAUGUAAUGGCCUAGAGGGUGUUGCAUUAAAGUAGGCUGAACUGUUACUUUACAUGCUUUAUGGAUUCCUGAUUCUCCAAUAUCAUAACUUUCCUCACCAAGAGAAGGUCUGGGUUAUGCUAAGUAUCUCCUAUUAAUUUUCAGAAUUAGAGUGGAUUCUAAUGUUCUACUUGUCUUGCACAAGUAGACUGAAGAUAGAGGAGGGUUUAGUGGUUGAUUAUGGGGGUUGUCCAUAUAUGUCUUCUAAAUUGAUGUGGGUAAUCCAGACAACACUUGUUUACAGACAACUGGAUAAGCGUCUCUGCCCAUGAUUGGUUUUGUGGGUUACAGCUGCUUAUAGAGCACGCUAAAUAAGCUACAUCUCUCUUAUGUAUUUUUUUUUGCUUCUUUUAAUUUCCUCUAUUUUGUUAGUUUUCCAGUAUUUCUCCUUCUAUGUGUGCAGUAGGAGCAUAGAGGAGUUGUACUGGAAGGACACUGAAUAUUGUAUGUGGCAGUAGAACUGCUCAUUGGUUGUCCUGGGAUUAUGAUCUAUUGAAAACAAUAGACAAGGCCUGUCGUAGGCUGCUGUGUCUUAGGGUUUUCUGUUAUUUUUAAUAUCUUUAUCUAGGUAGUGAUGACUAGAUGUGUACUUUGAUUCUUGAUGUCAGCCUUGCCUUUCUUGUUGUGGAGGACAAGAAAGCCCCUGCUCACCCUGAGCUUUGAGUGAAGAGUGGGUAUGUGAACACAUAUAUAGUAAGCAAUUAAAAUACAACUGUAUACUACACUACAUUAUUCUUACGAUGUUUUUGUGUAGUAUAGGGAUAGACAAUGGCAAAUAAUGUGUGUAUAUAUGGCUGGUGUUUUGUAAUCUUUCCGUACAGCCUGAUUUGCUUAAUUUUAUAACUUGAUUGAACUGAAGUUUUGUCUCUUUCAAUGGUAAAACAUUGUAUUUUGAAGAAGGGUUACUGAAGUAAGAGCUAAUUUGUAGUUAUUCUAGACUUCCUUGUGCUUGAGUGCUUUGCAGUGGGAGCUGUGUGUGCCUGCCAGCCUGCCUCUCAGACCUUUCUCUCUUUCACCUCUUGUGUAGCCAGGACAGCCAAUGGAAGGAGCAUCUCCAGGCCAAUCCUACUGCAGAUGUCAUUGUUUCAUUUCUAAUAAUCUUAGCAAAAAGACUGCUCCUUUCAUAGUAGUGGGGAUAAUUUCUAUAAACAAGGCAAAUAAUUGAUUCUUUACAAGGGUUUCCUUUUUUUCUAAUUAACAAAAAAUAAAAGCUGAUUGAACUCAGAUUUCGUAUAUUUUAUUAUGAGCCUAACUGACCCUUCUAGUGCUAUAACUAGAAAUGGACAGCAAGCUGCCAGUUUAUAUGGCUACUUCAAAUAGCUUACAGUUUAAAUCCUGCUUGCGCUACAUUUAAGAGUGAGAUGACUUCUAGUCCUCUGGCUGUGUAUGUUGGUCUGAAUACUCAAAAGGCUGAAAUACUACAUCUUACUCUGCUUCUACAAAAGAGAGAUUGCUCAGAGUGAAAGACUUAUUCUGCAUGAUGAAAAUGAGAAUUGCCAGAAUACAAAAUUAUUCUAAACUCAUUGGCUGAGAUUAAAACUUGCUUCAUUAUUUUCAGCCCUCUGUGGAUGCACAGGCCAAACAUCAGUAACCUGCAAGAUUUGUUAAAGGCUUUACUAUUCUAAUUCCCACUGGGGUAUUUUAAUGGCAGCUGUUAAAAUUCUCAGACUGGAGCUUCACAUCCGUAUUCCCUUCCUCACAGACACCUGUAAUGGGUUUCAUCUGUUUUCUUUGUUAUUCCCUCUGCUCAUUUAAAUGUAAUGUGCAUUUCUCAUCACACCACUGGAUUAACUUUUAUAUAAAUUACUGAAAUGCACAGAUACACACACACAUGCUUAUCCCAGAAGAGCAGAGGAUAGGAUUUUGGGCUCGAGUAUAAAGCUGGCUAAAGAAAAAUACUGUAGUAAAAUCCUCAUGCCUUUCUUUAAAACAAAAGAAAAUUUGUGUUAUGUGGCCAGUAAGGUGAGGCCUUUUGAAGCUUCUCCUGAAGUUAUCUUCCCUGUUCCCUCAGAAAUGAAUGCCAGGAAUGAAGAAACUCAUUCCAUUUAUACUUUUGCUGUGUUACUACCAGUCAUGUGGUCUUUCUACCUCUUCCCUGCAGUCCUCUUUCUCAUUUAUAUUGGGUAGAAUCAUGGCUUUGCUAGUUUUCUCUUGGGAUGAGUUGGCCAGAUAUGGGGAGGGUAUUGUAUUGCCUCAGGGAUUAUUCAUUUCUAGGACCUUUAUUCUGCAAGUGAUGUAUUAAUGGAACGUACUAAUAGGUGUUUUAACCUGAUACCUGAUUGAAAUUCCAAUUGAACCUGCCUUGAUUCAUCUAUGACAUAAGCAAUUCAGGGUGCCAGCCUUGCAUUUGCACCUGAGUUAACUCAAAAAUAACUUGUGUACAGUGGUUGUUAAAGCUGAGGCAGGGUCACUGAACAGUCUGAGACAGUGAUGUUAAGCUAUAAACUUUCUGCUGCCACAACUGUUCUUUGCAACACCUCACUCAGCACUUUGAAGUCAUGUUGGUGAGUCUCCACUACUGGAGUCCCAACAGGGAUCACAGAAUAGAUACAGCUCAUGAAUUAAAGGUAUGAGAUCAGCUGAGAUGUAGUCAUUAAGAAUUUAAUCUGCAGAAGAUGCAUGCUGCAAUGCUGGUCAAAUUCAGUUUUAGUAGGAGGCCAGGCUUGUAUGAAUCUUAUUUAAUUCCCUUACUCAGUGAGCAGGGAGCAAAAAAAAAAAAAAAACUUAAUCUAGAUGAGUCAGUGUUAUGUACCUCUUUGCAAACACUUUUCCCAAAUGAGCAGUGUUGCCAACUUAGCUGGAAGAAAGGCCUGCUGUGAUGACUCUGCCAUCUUAUUUCCUUUUACAACCUGUAUAUGAGGCUGGCAGGCUGUUCUUUCAUCAGUCAAGCAUUGCUCUUGGGAUAAAAUAAUAUUACGGAUUUGGAUGAAGAUGUGGUCCUUGUAGCUGUUGACAAGGAUGGGAAUUACAUGAGACUGGUAAAUGGUGUAGUGGUCUUAGGAGGAAAAAUGCUAGUGCAAAAAUGUGAAAUACUCUGUUUGAACAAAACCAGUUCUGCUUUGCCUUGAUUUUUUGAUUUUAGUUACUUAAGGAACUAGAAAUAAAAUCCUGCUAUUACAACUAUGCAACUUUGGCAUUUUAACUCCCAACACUUACUGUUGUUGUUCAUUUGCACUACCACUGCGUGCAGAGGCCCAAUCCAGGUUUAUAGUUACUUUAUAUGCCUAGCUAACAACAACAAAAAAAAAUCCUGUAAGAAGUUUGCAGUGGGAGGUUGGAGAAAAGCAGUAUUUUAAAGGAACAAAAUCAGAAACAUGGAGAGCAAGCAACCUCCUAAAAUUAAUCCCCAGUGAAAAUCAGAUGAAGUAGAGUUUACAUGGUACUUCUAGCAGAGCUAGAAAAAAAGCGUUUCCAUUACAGUGUUUUGAUUUACGAGGCCUUUUCCAACCAAACCAUGUAACCAUAGUUUAAUAUUCAAAAUCCACAGGGAGAAGCAGCAAUCAGAUAGAACAGAAGAUGUAUUUUAGAAUAGUACCAACAACUUCAGCAUUACCAAAAAAAAGGUUCCUACAGUGUACUUUGUGUGAAGAAUGAAGGUAUGUUUUGAAUCUUGCUUUUAUUUGGAUGUUGUAAAAUUCAAUCAUAUGUGCAUAUUUAACUAGGAAAAAAAUGGCAUCUUACAGAAGGUCUCUAUCUGUCAUACCUUAAAAGCAAAGAGAAGAGUAUCUAAUAAUAAAAAAAAUGCUAUUUUUAAUAGACUACUAUAAAGUUGUUACCUGUGCGUAAAGCAUAAAGAACAAUGCUAUCUUGUUAUAAUGUGUCAAAAUACUCUUUAAUGAGGAAAGGUAUAUAAAAUGCACAGAGUAGGGUACAACAGCUACUAAUACCUUCAUUAUUGUCUGUCAAAAAAUGACAGUGCUAUCAGUAAAUGAAUGAGCUCGAAGGAAUAAACAGCUUGUAGAAAUUGCUUUCACAGUGAUCUCUAACCAGAUGCAGUUUAAGCCUUCAAAUUUCAGUGUAGUCAUUUUGGCAAUAGCAACGUAUGAAUAUGUUAGGUGUCAAAAAUGUUUUUCUCUGUUUUCUGUAGUUAGGGACUUGGAGUGUUUUUUUGGAUUUAAAUAAUCUUCAUGAAAUAUAGGUACAUUCUGCCCACUAAAAAAUUGCUUAGCCACUAGCAUUAUUCUGGACUGCAGAAUUCAACCUACUAAUUACACUUUAAACAAGUACAGUUGUGGGGUUUUGUCCUUUCGGAAUUAAUGGACCUCUUUGUCUUGCUUGAGGCAUAUCAGAGCGAUACCAUGAACAAAAUGCUAAUCUGACCCUUGGUUCCAGGACUUGUUUCUUGGGCUUCAGCAUAAUAUUUUUGAGGCUCGUUCCAGUAAUAAAUUACAGUUUUAAUGAUGGUUCUGCUAACAUAUGGCAAGUAUAAAACACUUUUAAUAGUUUAAGCAACAUAGCUUCCAUUAAAUCUUUGCAAGGACUGAAGAACAGUAAAUUAACAGCCCAAUUAUUCAUUUGUUGUUCCUUGCUGAAUUAUUUAACACCUUUCUCUUUCCUGCUUUAGUGAAUAGUCUAUGUUAGAAAUACUAUUACUAAUCCAGUUACCAAAUCUUCAACCAUAUUUACUGCUCCAUUUAUUUUACAUCUGUACAUGAUGUUUACCUGAGAAGCAAUGAAGGCAGACUCAAUUUCUUCUAAAUCAAUAUUUUUUCAAGCGCCUGCCCAAACUGAUGAUGUUUAAACCAGGACAAUUUAAAAAGAUGAAGUAAGAAACUCAUGAAAAUUUCUAUAGAGGAGUAGUUUUUUCUGACUUCUAACAGCCUAAUUAUUUAUGAAUUUAAAAGUAAAGUUUGCCUCCUGCCAAUACCUUCCUGAGUUUAAUGUUCUUGGUUGUGCUUCUGAUCUUGUGGUUAGCUUGUGCUCUUAAGAGAAAACUCACUGCUGUACAGAGCACAAGAUUAGCAAAGGCUGAAAGCAUGACAACUCUGGUAACAAGAAUAUGUAUCUGUAGUAUCCCUUAGAAGUAAGACUCUGGCUAAAGUAUCUGAUUUUUCUGUACACACUUUGAAAGACAAAAUCUUUGCUUAAUGGUUAAAGGUUGAAGUCUGAGACAUGGGGAAAGAGAGAGCAGGGGAAAGGUGACAGUUUAUUUUAAAAAGGCACAUUCCAACCUUUACUUAGUUUAUGUCUAUUUUAUACAGUUUAAAUUAGCUAAAUUUUGGUACAUUUGUUUUAAUGUACUUAUCCAAGCAAUCUGUCAGUUACCUAGUAGUGUUUAUUUACAGAUUGAAUUCUGGUGCCAUCAUCUGUUGAGAACGUAUAAUUGCAACAUGGGCAGACUGGGAUCCUAAAAACAUCUAGAUUACAUUUAUAUUGCUUGUUUCACAUAUAACUUCAAUUCUUAUACUUACAGAAAGACAUUACAUAUGCUAUUUAAAAAAAAAAAGUUGUCUAUGCAAUGGAGCAGCCAUUUUCUGUUGGGUUGGAUAUCACGUGUGAAAACUAGUAACGGCAAAGCAGAAGUUUACAAGGAGAUGAACUACACAAUGUGAACUUUAUAAGUGCAUGUGUAAAGUUGACUUCAUGUAGCCACUUUGUCAAAAACUACUGUCCCUGAAAUUUUACAGCGAGAGUAUGUGUUGUAGUUAUUCUGUUUGGAAACUGUUACUCUUUGGAAUAUUUUUUGGAAACUGUUUUGUUUUGGUAAAGAGUUUCUGACCUGCAAGAACAAAGCUAUUUGAAAGUAGUAAAAACUGCUUGAAUUCUGCAGCUCUAGAUACUGGAGCUCAAGCUUUCAUUCUCUUUCCUGGGAAUAAACUAUCCCAGCAGUAUUCUGUGUUUUUGUCAAUACUAGCAUCUGCAGAAUGGAGUGUGACUGAUUUAUUUGCUUUAGCAAAAAGUGUGUAUUUAAAUUCAGAAGAUCAUCCAGUGGCAAGAAGAUUCAAUGGGUCUUACUUGCUGGUAAUAGAUGCCUACAGUGUAUCAGACAUCUCUAGGUGUGAGGUGUGGUAGUAGGAAGGUUCCUUUCUACAUUUGUAGCUUAUUGCCACUGGAUUAUAAACUUUUCUUUAUUCAUAGGUUCAGUCUCAGGCUUUUUUUACCAAGUUAAUUUACCAAGUUAAUGUUUAUCGGAGUCCAGCAAAAGAAAUAAGUAUGCAAGUGGUGGAGAGAUGUCUGGAGUCACACGUAUUAGAACGAAGAGCAACACGUGGUUAUACCUCAGGCCUAAGUGCCUGAGGUUUGUGGGUGAAAGUCAUCUGUCCAAAGAUGUCUGCAUCAGCGCUGAUCUUUUUCUGGUAACAGCCAGUGAAGAGAGAUGCUGACAUGCCCUCACUCUCCGGUAGACAUAGCAGGCAGGUGGAUCUGCUGCUCUCUCUUGACAGUAGCAGGAGCUCUGGCAGAUUCAGCUGGAGAUGCUACCUUAAUGGUCUGAACUUUGCUAAAAACGUAUGCCAUACAAUAUAUCCAUGCUGUUGCCAGAUUGCUGCUGUAGAGAAAGAAACUCCAUGAUGAAUAUCCACAAAAUCCUUAGCAACAAAAUAUUUAUAUAUCAGUUAUAAUUCAGUGAAAGAUGUGUGCUGCACUUUAAGCUACCCAGGUGUACUCAAAACUUGUUGCUGAUUUUUGCAGUCUCUUAAUCUUCCUGUUUAUUCUGUGCUUCAUUAAAGUCAAUCUCUGCUGGACAAACUGUCACUCAGGCUAGGCCUGUCCUGCUGUCUGCAGUCUCUGGGGAGCACCCUUCAUCCUGAUAAAUGGUCUAUUAGGAGAGCACGUCAAAGAGAAACCCUCCUUGAAGCUAAAUAGAUUACAGUCUCUUCCUUCUGAACAAUCUCAGUGGAAUGGGGGCUGGCCAGGUGCUGAGCAGCCAAAUGUUGCCAGUGACCAAAACUCAGUCCCUGCAGGUGGGCAUGUGAAAGUUUGGGACAAGCCGCUGCAAAGCUCCUUGACACUAUGCCCAAGCUCAAGGUGUCCAGAGGAGGACUUGUGCAGGCAUCUCCCUUCUUAUGUACACCUUGCGUCUGGACUGGGUUGGACACCAUUCUCUUCUGCUUGUGCGCAGAGUAACAGGGUGCUCUCCCAUGACUCACUAAUCCAGCUUGGGAGCCAAGCAAGCUGCUAGUGAGGAGUCUGAUGUCAAAAUGCACUGGUACAUGUAAGUAGAAAUCAAUAAACAUGAAUUAUUUAGGAGACAGGAUAAAAAUGGGUGAGUAUUAAAAUAGAACCAAUUCACUGUAUAAGCACUAAGGAACGUGUUUGAAUUCCUAGCAAUUUUGCAGCAAAUCCAUUUAGAAUCUCAAUUUAUGUGCAUACAACCAAAGUGGAAGUGAAUAUUUCAUUAUCUAAAUGUAAAUGAAUUAUAUAUAAAUUUUAACUAAACUGCAUGAACUAACUGUUAAAGAUCAAGUAUCUUAAGUUAGAAUACCUGUGGUAUAUAAAAGCAGAAGUAUCUAGCCGGAUGGUGUGACAAUAAGGAGCAACUGUAUUUCAAAUAACAAGCAUGUAGAAAUUGCGUGGGGUCAGUCAAGGAGCAGAGGGAUUUGACUGACUAACAAAGUUUAAAACAAGCUGGAAGGAAGAGAUGAGACAGUUUAGGAGUGACAGCUCUCCCUGUGCGACUGGUAGAAGGUUUUAACAUUGCUUCGAGGUGGAGAAAAAAAAUCUAUAGUAGAAAUGGUAGCAAACGAGACAGACUGAGUCAAGCAAUUUACUCUGCUAGACACCAAAUGCUUUUUUGAAGCUGUUCCAACCCAAUCCAUUCUAUGAUAUGAUUCCGGGAUUUCAAAAAUGAUCUCAGAACAAGUACCAAUGGCCAAAGAAAACCAGAAGAAAGUUUCUGUGUUGGUGGGGCAAAGAGAAGGUCUCAUUUAAUUGAAUCAAAUUGCCUAAACUUCUUUUAGGGAGGAUGCUUAUGUGCAUAUAUAGAGCUCAUAGACAGCCAGAGACAGGACUAAGGCUCCUGCCUUGCAACACAGCACUCUGGCUGGGAGCAUGGUGUCUCCUCCCUCUGCUUGGGGUAUCCCUAAGAGCCCAGACUGCCCUCCCUGGGGCCCUCCAAGAAAAAUGGCCCAUCAUCUUAGAAAGCUUAUGUCAGUCAGACCAUGAGACCAGUACUGCUUUGUGAUAAGCAGAGAGGCAGAUGAGAAUAAUGGCAAUUAGGUACCUGGGGAGGUGUGUUCAGUGAUAGCCUUUAGGAGGUGGUGGUGUACCCAUUCAAGUGCAGUACAGGUAUAAACACACUAAUCUGCUUGAUGUUCCUGCUGUCCAAGUAUGACAAGCAUUGUUGCCAGCAUGAGCAAAGCAGUAAGAUAAAGUAGCUUUUUGAAUGCCAUGCAGCAAAUUACAGACAAAACCAGAAUUUAGGCACACCUAAUCCUUAGUCUGUCCAAUCCUACUAAUUGCUCAAAGUCUCUGUGUUGUUGUCACAUACAAAAGGUAAUUACAUAUUUGAAAAUGUUCCCUGCUAGUUGCUUGGAGAGCUAUUAAAGAACCUACAUGCGAGGGAUGAAUGAGACUAAGUUUUUCCAUUGUUCAGAAGAAAUGCAGGAUGGGCAAACUCUGUGUACAGAAAUAGUGCUCUGAAUAGCAGAAGAAAGAUUUUAGUACCAGCUUUUACAGUGGAAUUGACAAAUGUGAGGAUUAUUAGUCCACAAAAUGUAAGAAAAUGACUGUGGAUGUUCCAGCCCUUCAAGUGUUUAGAAUCUCCAAUAUUUUCAGAGUCUGCAGGAUUAGCCCCUGGUUUGCAAAGGUAAAGCCUUACCUGAUAGGCUUUCAAGGAACAUUCCUCUUGGAAGAAAUAAUUCAAACCAUCAGUUCAUUCUAGAGCGUUAUUAGAGACCUUCAUCACUGUGCUGCAGAUACUGGUUUCCUUGUGCAUGGAGUGAAUUAGUGCUAUGUUUCAGCUGGAUUUCAUGAUUGUAUUAUCCAGUCAGUAUUAAAAUCCAUUCAUGCCAAUCCUUUGAAAUACCAACCUGUUGUGAAUGCAAUGUCAUGCUUUGUGGGAGCUAGUUACAUUAUGAAAGAAACAAAAUGUGUGUAUGGUAGGCUGCUUUGAAAUGCUGUACUCCUAGACAAGCAGGAAGGGGUAAAAAGGAAAAAAAAAACUGAAAAUCUCUGGGUAGGUUAAGUUCUAGCAAAUUACUGAUUUCUUAACCAUAUUAUUCCCUCAAAGAUAAAAACAUCCUGUGUCUUCGUUCUGCUGCUGGAGUUGAUCAAUUCAACAAAGCUGUCCAAGCAAAGAAUUAAACCUACUGUAUGACUCUCACCACUGGACACUGAGAAUUGUGCAGGCGAAGAAAGCAUAUUUCUGCCUCCUCUGCCUGUCUGGUUCUUGCCAUGACUUACCACAGCUCAUAUGUACGUGUUUUGCAGCAUCAUCAAAGCUUUUGAAUAAAACAUCAGGGAGCCUACUAAAGAUACCCCAGGGCUCCUGCAGAUGUCCCCACACGGGGCAAGGAAGCAGAGCCUUCACCAGCCCAGGGCUUUUUCCAGAACUCUGCUGAGCUGACUGGCAGGAUGAAAUGCCAGAGCAGGAGAUGGACACAGGCUUUCACAUUGCUCUCAGCCCUUUCUGGGGUUGUUGUUUGUUUUCUGUUUAUAGCCCUUUGGUUGCCCUUCCCAUUGUUUUAGUGAUGUUGUGGCUUAGGGUUACAGUUACAGACUAGCUUGUUAAAUACUUUGUUAGAUGCUGAAUUCUGAAAAUGUCAGUUUUAUUCUGUUUUCCCCUCUCUGCUAAAUUCCCCUUUAGAGUUCCUCAGCUUUUACUUACACACAAAUGUUAAAAUGAACUCUUUGGAAUUACUGUUUGGUGUGUCUUGCAGGAAGGAGAGGGGUUCUGCUUUCUUCUAAGCACAUUUCUUGGUGCUCUUUUGCACUCAAAUUAGAAAUAUAUGCAAACACGUGGGCUUGGUGCUUCCAAGGAAUUAGGCAGUCCAGGGAGCAUGUGCCAUCUCACCCUUUUACUGGGUACAUACUUUACUAUGGGGGCUAAUACAGGGAGGAGGAGAAGAGUAAAGCUCAGCAUUUGACAGAUUUUUCUCAAUAUCUUUUUCAGUCAUGGAAACGAUAAAUAUUCCUUCCAGAGAUGUGCUUUCUGAUGGUAGUGCAUUAAAAAUGCUGGAAAUGGAAAACAUGACCAGGUAGAGUAUUUAAGAGGCAGGCAGAAGUUGAAGUGCAGGAUGAUGGCUGGGUUGAAGGCAAUGACUGGUUUUCCUCUGAGACAGUCCCCUUCCCCAUCUUGGCAGAUGAGCUGAUUUCAGGAUGGUCACUCGAAUGUUUCUUUUGAACCCCAUGCAGAAAAGACAAUGAAAGAUAAGAAAAAGUAGCAUAAAUGCAAGUUUGUUACUUAAUCUCUGUUUCCAAAUUAAAUGCUACAAAUGGAUCUUGUUAUCUUGAAGGGCACUUCUUAACAGAUAAAUAGAUCACAGUGUUCACACAGAAGUCUGAGUAAGCUUCAUACAACUUUCUUGAUGAGCUUUUAUAAGCAGAAUUGUCAUACCCAUAAACAUUUAGAUUCUCAACUAAACAUCGCUGUCCGUUUUCAUUAAAAAGAAAUCGGUCCUUUUGCUUGAACUUGUGAUCUCAAUUCUUUUUCAGUUUAACUGGGGGAACAAAAGUUUAAAUUGAAGUGGAUAAAGCUCUUGCUGCACAAACAAGAAUGUCAUAGUAGUUUUACGAUCAUCUUUACACAGAACUCUGUUCUGCCUAGGACAUUUGCUUAAAAAAAAAAAAAAAAGAUUACAGGUAAAGCAGAAAGCCUGGUAAUUGCAGCUUGUAUUUUCCCCUGUGUUUGCUAGUUGGAUUAAAAAGAGCAUGGUGGACAUUGCUUUCAAAUUAUUUUUUAAUCACUGAAUGCUAGGAAAGUUGUGCCAAAUGCACUUGAGAAAUUCUCUGCUCCAUAACCUGAGCAGAUCUACUAGCCAGGCAGCCAGUUGGCAGGAAAGUUCAGACUGUGUUGUGUGCUGUAAAAGCUUGUUUCCCAGCUCACUGAAUGGAACACAAUCCUGUUGGCUGUUGUACAAAAUUUGGCUGACGUUGAUGGUACAGGUAUCCUGAAAAAAAAGACAGCAAUUAUAAGAAGCAAUUGAACUCUGUAGUAUAGAUUAAAAUAAUAAGAAGCUAUAGAAUAUAUAGGACACUUACAAAACUACUAAGCAAUGUAAAUAAUGUUGAUUGAAUGAAGGGUUGCAGAAAGCCACAAGCUUAGUUUGGUAGGAGUAAUAGGAAUAGGACAGAAACUACAGAGACAGAAGCACCCAGAGAAGAUACAAAAGAAAACAGCCAAUGAGUCUAAGGCAGCCUCCCAUCUUAACCCUGAACAAAUCCUGAUGGGUUGAAUGAAGUUUGGAAAGAGACUUGAAACUUAGUGAAGAAAUAGCGUCUCGAUUCCCUGCUUUUGUUUACAAGGUCCAAAUGAGUUUGGUCUGCAUGUUUCAAGAAGCACAUGUGUUUUAUGGCACUGCUGAUGUGGAAACAAAGAAUUGACAAGGAUAUUAUGGAGAUGUGUUGAGCAACUCUGUCCAAGACUACAAGUGUGGCCUUUAACUGAGAAAUUAGUUGGUGCCAUCCAUCAAGGAGGUCUGCUUUUUGACAUAAGGAAAAGGUAGGUCCACUUUAAACACAGUGCUAGACUUCUUUGCAAAUAAGAAUCUACCACAGAGGCCUCUGCUAGGAGCAGUGACCUGCUGUGACCACACAGCUGGGAGGAGCAGCAAAAGCAGAUGCUUCCCACAGGUGGAGGUGGAUCAUUCAACGGGGACAACCUUGCUGGGGAGAAUGGGAAGUGCUAGGGCAGAGGAGAGAAGUGCUUGCUCAGAUGCAGGUGUGCUACUCACAUGCCUGCAUGGCCAGCAAGUUUGCAGAUGACCACAAUGAGGGGGUGCAGUCAGUUCUUUGGUUGGGUGGGACUGAGCAGCAGCUCCCUGGAAGCUACGGGGAAGGUAUAGUGGGAGACUGAGAUGUUAAUAGCCACAAAUUGAAAGAAGGGGGAAGUUCUGGAUGUAAAGGGAAAAAAAAAAAAAAGACAACCAAGCUUUAGGACGGGAGCCUGCAGUUCUUGGGGAAGCUCUCACGAAAGAAUAAAUGAGACCAGCAGUUGUAUUUGGAUUAGGGGAAAUUAUUGUUUUCCAUCUCCAAGUAUUUAAUUUAAUAAAAGGAGUAGGGCAAGGGUUGUUUCUGUGCAUAUGGUUGUUUGUGUGGCAUUUCUGGAGUAUUUUCCCUUCACCAAUAAACUGGGUGAUUGUACAGGCUGAAAGGUUGCUUUCUGUUUGGAGAUCUGUGCACACAGUAUGUUUUUUGAACUUCCCCAUGGCUUAAUUUAUGUUGGAGAAAACUAUGAGGGCAUUAAAGGUAAGAGUUUCUGAACACAAGCUGCCGUAAGAUUUGAGGAUAAAAGAAUUCUCUGGUUGGAUUUUUUUUUCUUUACAUUAUAUAUUCACUGGAGCAAAUCUGAAAUGUAUGGGAAAUCAAAGAAAAAUGAGGCACUGAGGACUGUAAACCUCCAAGUAUUUUCUAUACUGGAUAUUAGUGCUGUGGUCUGUCCCUUCUGUGAAAGAAACACUGCUCGUGAAUAUUGUUGAUAUACAAAUGCAAGCCACCUCUUAAUUUUAGGAAGGACUCUGUGAACUGACUUGCUGGUCUCAUGUAUGUUUUUCAAACACUUUGAAUCCUGGUUUUCUCUCUGAAUGCCUUGCUCUCCUGGAGACUGAACCUAGGUAUACUUAAUGUUCUUAUUUUAGAGUGUUGCUGUUCCAAAUUAAGGACAUGUGUGCAAAAAUUAAAUUCUACAUCUGAAGACUAUUUACUGUUGCUUCCAGAAGUAAGGUGAGGGGAGCUGAUUUUAUUUUCUUUGGCAAGAAGGAAAAUUCCAUUUAACUGAGGCAUAUGGCUGUUUACUCAGGAGAAGGGAGUAGCAGAGAAUGUUCAUGGUGUUUCUUUCUGCCACAGCUCAACCUUCCGCUUGCAUCAGUUCGGUUAAAGAUGGCCUAUAGUUGUCCGGGUAGCUUGUUUUUCUCAAGUGUUGUGGGAGAACAUUUUUCUCUUGAAAGUGUGAAGAAUACCCAAAGCUUCAGAAAGUAUUACGCUAAUCUUGGGCAUUCUAAUAAAAUAUUGGAAAUUGAUUUAAAAAAAUGAGUGUUCCCAUCCCACAUGUAUACAGAUUGAAGCAUACCUAGUACAGAAUCAGUAGAAACAGGCAAACUUUUUGUUUACCUGUUCCUGAAAGGUUUUUGUCUUAAGGUUAAUUGUUUUAAUUAUCAAAUAGGUGACAAUGAGUUUUAAAUACUAUUUUAAAUGAGCUUAAAUGCCUUUAAUCUCACGCAACUCUGUAGAAGGGAAAAUAAAUAUGAGAAAAGUGGCAGAAGGUAUUUGAGUAGAGUUUGGGUUGAUUUCCCUCCAGGAGCAAAGCCAUUUGGGAGAAAUUCUUGGAGUGAGCAUCUGUGUGCUGUGUAAGGUGUCUCUGGAGAAGCUAGGAUUAGAUUUUCCUUCCUUUUUGCCUGUCGGGUUUGAGCGAGGCACACUGAGGUACCUUCCCAGGACUUCUCUCUUCUGGUGAGGGCCAUGGCUAGUGCUCCCUGACUGCUUCCCCUUUGGCAAUCGCCAUGAAGGACAGAAAUUCGUAAUUAAAUGCUGCCAUCUAGUUUGUGCGCUUAGAGAUGCGUAAAGCAAAAUGCUGUUUUAAGUAGUACUUGGGGGGGAAUCGCUCCAGGAGCCCUUCUGGAAGCCAUCCCAGCCAGCAUUUUCCCGCGGCCGGGCCCUUGCCGCCGCAGGCCGCCCCGGAAGGCGAGGCCGGUGCCGCCGGUUGCCAUGGCGGCGCGGGCGGCUGCG